rnacentral:rRNA from 1 species
UGGUGGAGUGAUUUGUCUGGUUAAUUCCGAUAACGAACGAGACCUUAACCUGCUAAAUAGUUACGCCGAUUUCUAUCGGUGGCCAACUUCUUAGAGGGACUGUGGAUGUUUAAUUCACGGAAGUUUGAGGCAAUAACA